ACCAACUAUUUCUGUGGCACUUCAGGUUUAGAGUUUUAUAAUGAUCAUUGAAAUGUGAAAUUUUAAAUCCAUAACAUGGAUCUGCAUCACCUUAAAAAACUACAUCUCUGUCUGUGUUCAGGUCUCAAUUCUGGAUUGACCUCAUGAAUGACUUGAGGGAGAGACAUCUCUUCAGUGGCAGUCGGGAGCACACAUGUCUUAUCCGGUUCGUGUUCCUAGGUGUGCUACAGAGGGACCUUGAUGAAUGCAGGGAAAGUGGAACACGCAUUCCAUCAGACCUGUUAACCAGUCUCGCUGUCCAUCUGGUAAACCAGAUGUCAUGUACAACCUGCCUCACAGGUUUGGAAUUGACUGUGGGUUCCCAGUCACACAGGAGGAAUUGGGCCAGUUUGCUUUUGAGUCAACCUACAGUCAAUGUGGAGAUGACCAUCUUCAGGCACACUUUGAAGAUCUACAGAGACAGAGUGGUGUGCUGCAUCCCUUGACUUGGGAGUCCUGUGUGGAAAAUUAUAUCAGACUCAAGAACAUGGCUGAUAUGUAAUGGAAUGUUCUGCUGACUGGGAAGCGAGAAGUCGACUGAAAAAUCAGUUUGGGUCGUGGCUGAAUUCCAGAGGGAGGCAAUGUGUUUAAUCCUGUGGCAAACAUCAAGAUAUCAUGGUGGAAGAGUCCUGUUGGUUUAUCUAAAAAAAUAAAAAAUAUCAUUUCAAUAGAACUGCCUUGAAAGGGAUAUGAAGAUGAGAACAAUUGUUGUAAUUAAAAAUAAACCUUCUGUCUCCAGAAGAUAGUCU